GGGAAACCACAAGGGUAAGCUCCCCACGGUGAAGGCGACUGCCUGAGGGAAACCACCAGGAACCAGCAGCAUCACCCCACAGCCCACCAGCAGGACACGUGGCAGGGAAAGCCCACCGCUCGUCCUCCACCAGGGUCUUCUGCUCUCUGCCAGUCACCGAGGGCAAGAGUACAGCGGAUCAGUCUCCUGAACUCAGUUGUCCAAAUCCCGCCUGUGUCAUAUUUUAGUGCGGGGGAGAGGGUUGGGUCUAGCUAUUACCAAUCUUUUGAGAUAUUGCCUCGCUGACACACGCUGUAAAAGUGGUUUUCUAAUACAAUAGAGAUCCUUGUUUUGUCUAGACCCAAUCAGGAGCCACUAAUGAACUUCAUACAUUAAUGACAGAAGUAAGCUCCAUGGGCUGACUGAGAUUGAAUGAGAGAGAGCUGCCCUUUGUUAUGUCUACACAGACGUGCCUUCAAGCAAGCUCGAAGUCUGCCUUGGCGUGCAACCAGCCACCUCAGGGUUGCGUCCAAACCUUUGCUCUUUUCCCGUUAGCGCCGGCCGACUGGUGGGCAAUCCCUGCCGUUGGCAGGGGCAGCUCUGCGGGAGGGAGACGUGAGUCACCAGCCCAGCCUGGCACACGUCCUGCGGGUCCACGACAAACAGCGCAGCUCCGUAGGGUGAAAAAGGGACUUUUGCGCCAGCCUGCCCGGGACCACCCGCCGGGGCUCAAGGGGAGGUGGAAGAGCUCCAGCCCUGGACUUGGCCGUGGGCGCUGCCCACGUGGCAGGAGAUGGCGUGCGUUUCACAUCGGCUGCUCUGGCCCCGUCCUCUGGGAGCGUAACAGCUCAGGAGAGCAAGUUUUAGCGACUUUUCCAUUUUGACACAGGCCAUGCUAAGAGUUCUUGCAGAGCUCCGUGUGAACUAAGCCAUCCUGUCUUCUGCCCAUGCUUCUUCCAAAGUCAAAUUCCCUUCAGAUUUUGAAAUAACUCGAGAUUACAUCCUGGUCUGAACCUUCUGCGGUGAAAUAACAGCAGAAAACUUUUGAUGGUAACCACAGCUCUCAGGACUGAACCUACGGUGUCUGGUCAGAGGCGUACCGCUGAAGAUUAAUUUGCAUAAAGUGAAGUUCUUGCUCAAAUUUAGGAAAUUUAGGUAAAUUGUAAUUCUCAAUCUACUGAAUUCAAGCAAUUAAGCUUUGGAACUUAAAUUAAUGACUUCUGAUUAAAUGUGAUUCAUUAUUGCAACUGUGACAAGUAUUAGUUCCAAAAUUAGUAAACUGGAGUAUCCUGAAAACUAAUGGACAGUUAAGAAACUUGUUGCUGCUUAGAAGACAAUUUUUCCUGUUUUCCCCUUCACAUUUAAUAAUUGAGUAUAUCCCCCUUAAAUCAAUUUCUUUGGUCAAAUUACCCCAGGUAAUAAAUUUACCUGGUUUUAACUUCUAAGAAGGACUCCUUAAAAAUUCUCAUUUGACAGAUUUUCAUCUAUUAUUGUUUUAAUAAAAGAACAGGUAGUUAUUCCAUUCCAUCUUAUUUUCUGUUGUUAUGGUGAAAUGAUUUUUUAUGACUAUGGUUUGACUACAGGUGUAUUCUCAUCAUAAGACUCAUAAUACUACAAGCUUUUUUCUGGAAAAGUAUAAAUUUUAAUUUUGGGCAGCAUGGCAGUCUUCUUUUGAAUCAACACCUUCUUAGUUGUAACCAGAACA